rnacentral:misc_RNA from 1 species
UUCCUUCUUCUGUACGUGACAAAACAUAGCACAAGCAUGAAUGAAGGAACUGUUAAUUGAUGACGCAUUUUCUUUCCUCUCAUUUUCACUUUGCCAAACAAAGGAACUAGCCUUGCCCUUAAUUUGACUUCCUUUUAUCCUUUUUCCCCAUACAAAUGGGAGGGAAGAAAAUAUUUUCUAUUUUUAUUACUUUUAUUCCUAUAUUUUCUUCCUACCACUUAUUUGCUUUCACUUUCAAAACGGUGCUAAAAACCUAACAAAUUUAUGCUUUAUAUACACCAACAGCAUCAAAAUAAUUCAAAGUUUAUUAUAGCUCCAAAAUGGAGAAAAACAAACCAUUUCCUAUAG